AUUGAACGCUGGCGGCAUGCCUUACACAUGCAAGUCGAACGGCAGCACGGGAGCAAUCCUGGUGGCGAGUGGCGAACGGGUGAGUAAUAUAUCGGAACGUGCCCAGUCGUGGGGGAUAACGCAGCGAAAGCUGUGCUAAUACCGCAUACGAUCUAAGGAUGAAAGCGGGGGAUCGCAAGACCUCGCGCGAUUGGAGCGGCCGAUACCAGAUUAGCUAGUUGGUGGGGUAAAGGCCCACCAAGGCGACGAUCUGUAGCUGGUCGGAGAGGACGACAAGCCCCACUGGAACUGAGACACGGUCCAGACUUCUACGGGAGGCAGCAGUUGGGAAUUUUGGACAAUGGGCGCAAGCCUGAUCCAGCAAUGCCGCGUGCAGGAUGAAGGCCUUCGGGUUGUAAACUGCUUUUGUACGGAACGAAACGGCCCUUUCUAAUACAGGGGGCUAAUGACGGUACCGUAAGAAUAAGCACCGGCUAACUACGUGCCAGCCGCCGCGGUAA
rnacentral:rRNA from 1 species